GGCCCCAUCGUCUAGUCCGGCCUAGGACACCUGGUUCUCAGCCAGGAGACUGGGGUUCAAAUCCCCAUGGGGCUACCA
rnacentral:tRNA from 1 species